UGGGGAAUUUUGGACAAUGGGCGAAAGCCUGAUCCAGCCAUGCCGCGUGAGUGAAGAAGGCCUUCGGGUUGUAAAGCUCUUUUAGUCGGAAAGAAAGAGUUGCAAUGAAUAAUUGUGAUUUAUGACGGUACCGACAGAAUAAGCACCGGCUAACUACGUGCCAGCAGCCGCGGUAAUACGUAGGCUGCGAGCGUUAAUCGGAAUUACUGGGCGUAAAGGGUGCGCAGGCGGUCUUGCAAGUCAGAUGUGAAAGCCGCGGGCUUAACCUGGGAAUUGCGUUUGAAACUACAAGGCUAGAGUGCAGCAGAGGGGAGUGGAAUUCCAUGUGUAGCAGUGAAAUGCGUAGAGAUGUGGAAGAACACCGAUGGCGAAGGCAGCUCCCUGGGUUGACACUGACGCUCAUGCACGAAAGCGUGGGGAGCAAACAGGAUUAGAUACCCUGGUAGUCCACGCCCUAAACGAUGUCAACUAGUUGUCGGAUCUAAUUAAGGAUUUGGUAACGUAGCUAACGCGUGAAGUUGACCGCCUGGGGAGUACGGUCGCAAGAUUA
rnacentral:rRNA from 1 species